ensembl:lncRNA
UGUUCUCUCCCUCCCUUCCUUCCUGCUUUCCUGCCUGCCUUCCUUCCUUCCUGCCUGCCUGCCUUCCUGCCUUCCUUCCUGCCUGCCUUCCUGCCUUUCUACCUUCCUUCCUUCCUUAGAAUCAAUACUGUGUAAUAAUUCCAAGGCAGAAGAGUGCCUCAUACAGUGACCUAGGACCCAGAUGGUGUAACAUUUAAAAGGAGUGGAUGCCUUAAACUGUAGGAGUUAAAAUGGUUGAAGGCUAUAAACUGUAGUACAGGAAGAUUUGCUUCAGAUUUACAUGGAGCAUUCAAUUGAUCCCAGUGUGAGAAUUACAGCUUUUGUGGUCCUUUUGGAUGCUGUUUGGAUUUUCUUUGACCAUGGGGAUAGGAGAUACUAUGUUAAAGGAGACCAGCUUACAAGGGGUAGAGAUAAUUGGCAAAACAAGAAAUCAAGCCCUGUUGCUUUUGUCUUCCCAGCUGUCAAUGAUUACAAUGGAAAAUUUAACAGUGAUAUUGUUAGGUAGGCAGAAAGGAUUACCUGCUGGAAAACUUCCGAUUUCAAUGGAUUUCAAAAUAUUUGGUCAAGAGUCAUUCUUCUUAAAUAUCAACAUGAAGUAAAUGUUUGUUGGCACACAAUGACAACCAUGUUGAUCGAUACCACCAAUCUCUCAGUCUGGUAUUCAGUUACAGUAGAAGGCCUUGCCUCAUUCCCUGCUGAAAUUUGAUGCCAAGAUCAACUGGAAAGAAAAAAAAAACCCUUCAAAUUUGAAAGUCUGCUCUGGUAAAGUUAAAAUGUAUAGCUUUAUUUUACAGAGUCCUCUUUUUCAUAGAAAUAGUGUCUCUAGUUUGGAAGGAACUUUGAGUAGGUUUGUUUGUUUUAGUGCAAAUCCUCUACUUAUGAAAGGCCUGCCCUUGAAACUUCCCAGCUAAAUAAUAUUUAACCUUUUGAAAAAGACCUUCAAUGAGGAGACUAAUUCUAUAAACUAUCCUUGUCAUCUCUUGCAAGGUCUAACAAACUUGUCAGUAAAUUCUUCCUCAUAUUUACUCAAUCUAAAAUAAAGUUUUUUUCCUCUUGCUUUGUCUUGAAAGA